UACGUAGGGGGCAAGCGUUAUCCGGAUUCACUGGGUGUAAAGGGAGCGUAGACGGCCAAGCAAGCCAGGGGUGAAAGCCCGGGGCCCAACCCCGGGACUGCCCUUGGAACUGCAUGGCUGGAGUGCGGGAGGGGCAGGCGGAAUUCCUGGUGUAGCGGUGAAAUGCGUAGAUAUCAGGAGGAACACCGGCGGCGAAGGCGGCCUGCUGGACUGCGACUGACGUUGAGGCUCGAAAGCGUGGGGAGCGAACAGG
rnacentral:rRNA from 1 species